rnacentral:sRNA from 1 species
AGCAGCCGCGGUAAUUCCAGCUCCAAUAGCGUAUAUUAAAGUUGUUGCAGUUAAAAAGCUCGUAGUUGAAUUUCGGGAUCAGUUGAUCGGUCGUGCCUCGGUACGUACUGGUCAAAUUGAUUCCUACCUUCUGACGAACCACGAUGUCAUUAAUUUGGUGUCGCGGGAAAUCAGGACUGUUACUUUGAAAAAAUUAGAGUGUUUAAAGCAGGCUCGCGCUUGAAUACAUUAGCAUGGAAUAAUGAAAUAGGACGUUUGAUUCUAUUUUGUUGGUUUCUAGGAUCGACGUAAUGAUUAAUAGGGAUAGUUGGGGGCAUUAGUAUUCAAUUGUCAGAGGUGAAAUUCUUGGAUUUAUUGAAGACUAACUACUGCGAAAGCAUUUGCCAAGGAUGUUUUCAUUAAUCAAGAACGAAAGUUAGGGGAUCGAAGACGAUCAGAUACCGUCGUAGUCUUAACCAUAAACUAUGCCGACUAGGGAUCGGAUGAUGUUAAUUUUUUAAUGACUCAUUCGGCGCCUUAC